rnacentral:rRNA from 1 species
GGGUUGUGAGGUUAAGCGACUAAGCGUACACGGUGGAUGCCCUGGCAGUCAGAGGCGAUGAAGGACGUGCUAAUCUGCGAUAAGCGUCGGUAAGGUGAUAUGAACCGUUAUAACCGGCGAUUUCCGAAUGGGGAAACCCAGUGUGUUUCGACACACUAUCAUUAACUGAAUCCAUAGGUUAAUGAGGCGAACCGGGGGAACUGAAACAUCUAAGUACCCCGAGGAAAAGAAAUCAACCGAGAUUCCCCCAGUAGCGGCGAGCGAACGGGGAGCAGCCCAGAGCCUGAAUCAGUGUGUGUGUUAGUGGAAGCGUCUGGAAAGGCGCGCGAUACAGGGUGACAGCCCCGUACACAAAAAUGCACAUGCUGUGAGCUCGAUGAGUAGGGCGGGACACGUGGUAUCCUGUCUGAAUAUGGGGGACCAUCCUCCAAGGCUAAAUACUCCUGACUGACCGAUAGUGAACCAGUACCGUGAGGGAAAGGCGAAAAGAACCCCGGCGAGGGGAGUGAAAAAGAACCUGAAACCGUGUACGUACAAGCAGUGGGAGCACGCUUAGGCGUGUGACUGCGUACCUUUUGUAUAAUGGGUCAGCGACUUAUAUUCUGUAGCAAGGUUAACCGAAUAGGGGAGCCGAAGGGAAACCGAGUCUUAACUGGGCGUUAAGUUGCAGGGUAUAGACCCGAAACCCGGUGAUCUAGCCAUGGGCAGGUUGAAGGUUGGGUAACACUAACUGGAGGACCGAACCGACUAAUGUUGAAAAAUUAGCGGAUGACUUGUGGCUGGGGGUGAAAGGCCAAUCAAACCGGGAGAUAGCUGGUUCUCCCCGAAAGCUAUUUAGGUAGCGCCUCGUGAAUUCAUCUCCGGGGGUAGAGCACUGUUUCGGCAAGGGGGUCAUCCCGACUUACCAACCCGAUGCAAACUGCGAAUACCGGAGAAUGUUAUCACGGGAGACACACGGCGGGUGCUAACGUCCGUCGUGAAGAGGGAAACAACCCAGACCGCCAGCUAAGGUCCCAAAGUCAUGGUUAAGUGGGAAACGAUGUGGGAAGGCCCUGACAGCCAGGAUGUUGGCUUAGAAGCAGCCAUCAUUUAAAGAAAGCGUAAUAGCUCACUGGUCGAGUCGGCCUGCGCGGAAGAUGUAACGGGGCUAAACCAUGCACCGAAGCUGCGGCAGCGACACUAUGUGUUGUUGGGUAGGGGAGCGUUCUGUAAGCCUGUGAAGGUGUACUGUGAGGUAUGCUGGAGGUAUCAGAAGUGCGAAUGCUGACAUAAGUAACGAUAAAGCGGGUGAAAAGCCCGCUCGCCGGAAGACCAAGGGUUCCUGUCCAACGUUAAUCGGGGCAGGGUGAGUCGACCCCUAAGGCGAGGCCGAAAGGCGUAGUCGAUGGGAAACAGGUUAAUAUUCCUGUACUUGGUGUUACUGCGAAGGGGGACGGAGAAGGCUAUGUUGGCCGGGCGACGGUUGUCCCGGUUUAAGCGUGUAGGCUGGUUUUCCAGGCAAAUCCGGAAAAUCAAGGCUGAGGCGUGAUGACGAGGCACUACGGUGCUGAAGCAACAAAUGCCCUGCUUCCAGGAAAAGCCUCUAAGCAUCAGGUAACAUCAAAUCGUACCCCAAACCGACACAGGUGGUCAGGUAGAGAAUACCAAGGCGCUUGAGAGAACUCGGGUGAAGGAACUAGGCAAAAUGGUGCCGUAACUUCGGGAGAAGGCACGCUGAUAUGUAGGUGAAGUCCCUCGCGGAUGGAGCUGAAAUCAGUCGAAGAUACCAGCUGGCUGCAACUGUUUAUUAAAAACACAGCACUGUGCAAACACGAAAGUGGACGUAUACGGUGUGACGCCUGCCCGGUGCCGGAAGGUUAAUUGAUGGGGUUAGCCGCAAGGCGAAGCUCUUGAUCGAAGCCCCGGUAAACGGCGGCCGUAACUAUAACGGUCCUAAGGUAGCGAAAUUCCUUGUCGGGUAAGUUCCGACCUGCACGAAUGGCGUAAUGAUGGCCAGGCUGUCUCCACCCGAGACUCAGUGAAAUUGAACUCGCUGUGAAGAUGCAGUGUACCCGCGGCAAGACGGAAAGACCCCGUGAACCUUUACUAUAGCUUGACACUGAACAUUGAGCCUUGAUGUGUAGGAUAGGUGGGAGGCUUAGAAGUGUGGACGCCAGUCUGCAUGGAGCCGACCUUGAAAUACCACCCUUUAAUGUUUGAUGUUCUAACGUUGACCCGUAAUCCGGGUUGCGGACAGUGUCUGGUGGGUAGUUUGACUGGGGCGGUCUCCUCCUAAAGAGUAACGGAGGAGCACGAAGGUUGGCUAAUCCUGGUCGGACAUCAGGAGGUUAGUGCAAUGGCAUAAGCCAGCUUGACUGCGAGCGUGACGGCGCGAGCAGGUGCGAAAGCAGGUCAUAGUGAUCCGGUGGUUCUGAAUGGAAGGGCCAUCGCUCAACGGAUAAAAGGUACUCCGGGAUAACAGGCUGAUACCGCCCAAGAGUUCAUAUCGACGGCGGUGUUUGGCACCUCGAUGUCGGCUCAUCACAUCCUGGGGCUGAAGUAGGUCCCAAGGGUAUGGCUGUUCGCCAUUUAAAGUGGUACGCGAGCUGGGUUUAGAACGUCGUGAGACAGUUCGGUCCCUAUCUGCCGUGGGCGCUGGAGAACUGAGGGGGGCUGCUCCUAGUACGAGAGGACCGGAGUGGACGCAUCACUGGUGUUCGGGUUGUCAUGCCAAUGGCACUGCCCGGUAGCUAAAUGCGGAAGAGAUAAGUGCUGAAAGCAUCUAAGCACGAAACUUGCCCCGAGAUGAGUUCUCCCUGACCCUUUAAGGGUCCUGAAGGAACGUUGAAGACGACGACGUUGAUAGGCCGGGUGUGUAAGCGCAGCGAUGCGUUGAGCUAACCGGUACUAAUGAACCGUGAGGCUUAACCUUACAACGCCGAAG